rnacentral:rRNA from 1 species
CAGCAGCCGCGGUAAUACGUAGGUGGCGAGCGUUGUCCGGAUUUAUUGGGCGUAAAGCGAGCGCAGGCGGUUAGAUAAGUCUGAAGUUAAAGGCUGUGGCUUAACCAUAGUACGCUUUGGAAACUGUUUAACUUGAGUGCAAGAGGGGAGAGUGGGAUUCCAUGUGUAGCGGUGAAAUGCGUAGAUAUAUGGAGGAACACCGGUGGCGAAAGCGGCUCUCUGGCUUGUAACUGACGCUGAGGCUCGAAAGCGUGGGGAGCAAACAGGAUUAGAUACCCGUGUAGUCCCUGUCUCUUAUACA